UUUUUGGGGCGAAUCCGGUGAUCCCUUCUGCCGAGAAAAGCUUCGGCGCCAGGGCCCUAUGCCGCCCGUACCCGAAACCGACACUGGUGGUCUGGUAGAGUAUACCAAGGCGAUCGAGCGAAUCCUGGUCAAGGAACUCGGCAAACCACUCCCGUGCCUUCGGUAUAAGGGAGACCCCUUGGGGUGAUGUCCUUCGCGGGCGGAGCCUUGGGGGGUGGCACAGGCCAGGGGGUAGCGACUGUUUACCAAAAACACAGGUGCAUGCGAAGGCGCAAGCCGCUGUAUAUGCACUGACGCCUGCCCGGUGCCGGAAGGUUAAGAGGAUCCGUCAGCCCUUUCGGGUGAAGCGGUGAAUUCAAGCCCCGGUAAACGGCGGUGGUAACUAUAACCAUCCUAAGGUAGCGAAAUUCCUUGUCGGGCAAGUUCCGACCUGCACGAAUGGCGUAACGACUUCCCCGCUGUCUCGACCAGGAGCUCGGCGAAAUUGCAGUACGAGUAAAGAUGCUCGUUAAGCGCAGAAGGACGAAAAGACCCCGGGACCUUUACUAUACCUUGGUAUUGUCGUCAGGUCUGGAUUGUGUAGCAUAGGCGGGAGGCUGUGAGCCGCGGGCGCCAGCCCGCGGGGAGCCGGAAGGUGAAAUACCGCUCUGUCCACACCUGGCGUCUAACCUCGAAGAGUCAUCCUCUUCAGGGACAGUGCCUGGCGGGUAGUUCAACUGGGGCGGUUGCCUCCCAAAGAGUAACGGAGGCGCUCAAAGGUCCCCUCAGCCCGGUUGGCAACCGGGUGUCGAGUGCAAUCGCACAAGGGGGCUUGACUGCGAGACCGGCGGGUCGAGCAGGGACGAAAGUCGGAGAUAGUGAUCCGGUGCCGGCGCACGGGCGCGGCAUCGCUCAACGGAUAAAAGGUACCCCGGGGAUAACAGGCUGAUCAUUCCCAAGAGUCCAUAUCGACGGGAUGGUUUGGCACCUCGAUGUCGGCUCGUCGCAUCCUGGGGCUGGAGCAGGUCCCAAGGGUUCGGCUGUUCGCCGAUCAAAGCGGCACGCGAGCUGGGUUCAGAACGUCGUGAGACAGUUUGGUCUCUAUCCUCUGCGCUCGUUGGAAUCCUGAGGAGGCCUGCCCAUAGUACGAGAGGACCUGGGUGGACGAACCUCUGGUAUGCCGGUCGUCACGCCAGUGGCGCGGCCGGUUGGCUACGUUCGGGAGGGAUAACCGCUGAAAGCAUCUAAGCGGGAAGCCUGCUCCGAGAUCAGGAUUCCGUGACCCCCCUGGGGGUCUGGAGACUCCAUGGAGAACACGUGGUUGAUAGGCCGGACGUGGAAGCCCCGCGAGGGGUGGAGCCGACCGGUACUAACAGUCGAACGGCAACAC
rnacentral:rRNA from 1 species